rnacentral:rRNA from 1 species
CCUACGGGAGGCAGCAGUGGGGAAAUAUGGGACAAUGGGCGAAAGCCUGAUCCAGCCAUGCCGCGUGUGUGAAGAAGGCCUUUUGGUUGUAAAGCACUUUAAGCGAGGAGGAGGCUACUUAGAUUAAUACUCUAGGAUAGUGGACGUUACUCGCAGAAUAAGCACCGGCUAACUCUGUGCCAGCAGCCGCGGUAAU